rnacentral:rRNA from 1 species
AGAGUUUGAUCAUGGCUCAGAUUGAACGCUGGCGGCAUGCCUUACACAUGCAAGUCGAACGGCAGCACGGGGGCAACCCUGGUGGCGAGUGGCGAACGGGUGAGUAAUACAUCGGAACGUGUCCUGUAGUGGGGGAUAGCCCGGCGAAAGCCGGAUUAAUACCGCAUACGAUCUACGGAAGAAAGCGGGGGAUCGCAAGACCUCGCGCUAUAGGGGCGGCCGAUGGCAGAUUAGCUAGUUGGUGGGGUAAAGGCCUACCAAGGCGACGAUCUGUAGCUGGUCUGAGAGGACGACCAGCCACACUGGGACUGAGACACGGCCCAGACUCCUACGGGAGGCAGCAGUGGGGAAUUUUGGACAAUGGGGGAAACCCUGAUCCAGCAAUGCCGCGUGUGUGAAGAAGGCCUUCGGGUUGUAAAGCACUUUUGUCCGGAAAGAAAACUUCUGCCCUAAUACGGCGGGAGGAUGACGGUACCGGAAGAAUAAGCACCGGCUAACUACGUGCCAGCAGCCGCGGUAAUACGUAGGGUGCGAGCGUUAAUCGGAAUUACUGGGCGUAAAGCGUGCGCAGGCGGUUCGUUAAGACAGAUGUGAAAUCCCCGGGCUUAACCUGGGAACUGCAUUUGUGACUGGCGAGCUAGAGUAUGGCAGAGGGGGGUAGAAUUCCACGUAGCAGUGAAAUGCGUAGAGAUGUGGAGGAAUACCGAUGGCGAAGGCAGCCCCCUGGGCCAAUACUGACGCUCAUGCACGAAAGCGUGGGGAGCAAACAGGAUUAGAUACCCUAGUAGUCC